GUAGCAAUACGUUGAAGGCCGAGGAUGGUAAUUACAGUGGUCAGUAAUUCAACAUUCUUUUUCAGCAUCCGGCUGACGGCGACGGGAGCUGGGAUGCUGGAGGUGCCGGGGGUUGACAGAGAGAAAAAGAGGUCGCAUACGGCGCUUCGUCAACGAACCAAAGAUCAAAUCUGGCCAUUUCUCACACACACGCAGAGGCAAUCAACCGACAAAAAAAAAAGAAGAUAUUAAAGAAACAAUUUUUUUAUAUUUGAAAAAGUUUAAAGAGCUGGAAAACUUAACAAAAUCCUAGAAAUAAAAUAAUGUUUGAAUAUCAAAUGCUACAAAACCAGCUUCGAAUACACGAGAAGAAUAGUAAAAGUUGAAAAGUCCAGCACACUAGCAAUGAUGAGGUUAAAACUAAAAAUCAUCAAACAAAUUUAUUAUCGGCCUUUGGUAGGGUUGUACGGUACCGGCAUCCGGCUGACGGCGACGGGAGCUGGGAUGCUGGAGGUGCCGGGGGUUGACAGAGAGAAAAAGAGGUCGCAUACGGCGCUUCGUCAACGAACCAAAGAUCAAAUCUGGCCAUUUCUCACACACACGCAGAGGCAA